GAUGAACGCUGGCGGCGUGCCUAAUACAUGCAAGUCGAGCGAACAGACGAGGAGCUUGCUCCUCUGACGUUAGCGGCGGACGGGUGAGUAACACGUGGAUAACCUACCUAUAAGACUGGGAUAACUUCGGGAAACCGGAGCUAAUACCGGAUAAUAUAUUGAACCGCAUGGUUCAAUAGUGAAAGACGGUUUUGCUGUCACCUAUAGAUGGAUCCGCGCCGCAUUAGCUAGUUGGUAAGGUAACGGCUUACCAAGGCGACGAUGCGUAGCCGACCUGAGAGGGUGAUCGGCCACACUGGAACUGAGACACGGUCCAGACUCCUACGGGAGGCAGCAGUAGGGAAUCUUCCGCAAAGGGCGAAAGCUUGACGGAGCAACGCCGCGUGAGUGAUGAAGGUCUUCGGAUCGUAAAACUCUGUUAUUAGGGAAGAACAAAUGUGUAAGUAACUAUGCACGUCUUGACGGUACCUAAUCAGAAAGCCACGGCUAACUACGUG
rnacentral:rRNA from 1 species